rnacentral:lncRNA from 1 species
UCAUAUCAUUAGAAAGUAUUCGUGGAACAAUAAUAAAGAUUGUAAAUCACAAUGCUCCAUUGAAAUAUUGCAAACCAAGUUGCUCUAAAAGUGGGUUAAAGACUAUCAUUGUAGUUUUUCCCAUUUACGGUCAAGAUCAAAGCCUAGCUCAAGUGGUAAAAGCGAAGCUUUACCAUAUUAUUGACUUGGGUUUGAGUUCGCUUGGAUGAGAGGACAGGAUUCAAAAGAAGAAAAUGAUGAUUACAGUUUAUUAAGG